UGCAGGCCAACAGGACAGCAGGACAGACUCACCUUCAGGUGGAUGGGGAAGGGCCGCUCCUGCUGAAGAGGCCCAAGCAGAGUCUGCUCUACGCUGACCAGCUCCGAGGUAAUGAAAUGGCAUCAAGGAAGAGUUGGCACUACUUGCUCCUGAACCCAAACCUGGCACUGCCCAAAUGAGGAGCUUGACUGUUUUGUGUGGAAGGACUCAGGCAGCAAGGUCAAAGGAGAAUCCAAUGAUCCAGCCCAGCAGACGCAGGGGCACAGGGCAAACUAGAGGCUCAGGCAGAUGGAGAGCAUGUCCUGUGGAGUCAGUUCUGGAAGCUCUCUGAAUGGAAAAGCCCUGGCGCUGGUGCUGUCGGCACAGACGAGUGAGCAUUUAGAGAUAUGGAGUCCAUUAAGAUUUCAUUGACUCCAGGGUAGUUGACCCUGUGCAAUCCUCCCCGCCCUCCAACAAAGGUUCUUGGAAAUCUCAGUUUCCUUCCUCUCUGAAAAACAAUCUAA